ACGUUAGCUGCAGAAGAAGCACCGGCUAACUCCGUGCCAGCAGCCGCGGUAAUACGGAGGGUGCGUAGCGUUAAUCGGAAUUACUGGGCGUAAAGCGCAUGCAGGUGGUUUGUUAAGUCAGAUGUGAAAGCCCGGGGCUCAACCUCAGAAUUGCAUUUGAAACUGGCAAACUAGAGUACUGUAGAGGGGGUAGAAUUUCAGGUGUAGCGGUGAAAUGCGUAGAGAUCUGAAGGAAUACCCGGUGGCGAAGGCGGCCCCCCUGGACAGAUACUGACACUCAGAUGCGAAAGCGUGGGGAGCAAACAGGAUUAGAUACCCUGGUAG
rnacentral:rRNA from 1 species